rnacentral:rRNA from 1 species
GACGAACGCUGGCGGCGUGCCUAACACAUGCAAGUCGAACGGGGUGAUUCCUUCGGGGAUCACUUAGUGGCGAACGGGUGAGUAACGCGUGAGGAACCUGCCUCUCAGUGGGGGACAACAGUUGGAAACGACUGCUAAUACCGCAUAAUGUAGCGAGACCGCAUGAUCUUGCUACCAAAGCUUUAUGUGCUGAGAGAUGGCCUCGCGUCUGAUUAGCUAGAUGGCGGGGUAACGGCCCACCAUGGCGACGAUCAGUAGCCGGUCUGAGAGGAUGAACGGCCACAUUGGGACUGAGAUACGGCCCAGACUCCUACGGGAGGCAGCAGUGGGGAAUAUUGGGCAAUGGGCGAAAGCCUGACCCAGCAACGCCGCGUGAAGGAAGAAGGCCUUCGGGUUGUAAACUUCUUUACCUAGGACGAACACAAUGACGGUACCUCGGAGAAAAAGACAACGGCGUAACUACGUAG